GUAGGUGGCAAGCGUUGUCCGGGAAUUAUUGGGGCGUAAAGCGCGCGCAGGCGGUUCCUUAAGUCUGAUGUGAAAGCCCACGGGCUCAACCGUGGAGGGUCAUUGGAAACUGGAGAACUUGAGUACAGAAGAGGAAAGCGGAAUUCCACGUGUAGCGGUGAAAUGCGUAGAGAUGUGGAGGAACACCAGUGGCGAAGGCGGCUUUCUGUCUGUAACUGACGCUGAGGCGCGAAAGCGUGGGGAGCAAACAGGAUUAGAUACCCUGGUAGUCCACGCCGUAAACGAUGAGUGCUAAGUGUUAGGGGGUUUCCGCCCCUUAGUGCUGCAGCUAACGCAUUAAGCACUCCGCCUGGGGAGUACGGCCGCAAAGGCUG
rnacentral:rRNA from 1 species